GUCCACGCCUUAACGUUGAAUACUCGAUGUGUGCGAUAUACAGUACGCGUCUAAGCGAAAGUGAUAAGUAUUCCACCUGGGAGUACGCUCGCAAGAGUGAACUCAAAGGAAUUGACGGGGCCCGCACAAGCGGAGGAGCAUGUGGUUUAAUUCGAUGAUACGCGAGGAACCUUACCUGGGCUUGAAAGUUAGUGACCGACUGUGAAAGCAGUUUUCCGCAAGGACACGAAACUAGGUGCUGCAUGGCUGUCGU
rnacentral:rRNA from 1 species